CAGGCCUAACACAUGCAAGUCGAGCGCACCCUUCGGGGCGAGCGGCGGACGGGUUAGUAACGCGUGGGAACGUACCCUUUUCUACGGAAUAGCCUCGGGAAACUGAGAGUAAUACCGUAUAAGCCCUUCGGGGGAAAGAUUUAUCGGUAAAGGAUCGGCCCGCGUUAGAUUAGAUAGUUGGUGGGGUAAUGGCCUACCAAGGCGAC
rnacentral:rRNA from 1 species